rnacentral:rRNA from 1 species
UACGAAGGGGCUAGCGUUGCUCGGAAUCACUGGGCGUAAAGCGCACGUAGGCGGAUUGUUAAGUCAGGGGUGAAAUCCUGGAGCUCAACUCCAGAACUGCCUUUGAUACUGGCGAUCUCGAGUCCGGGAGAGGUGAGUGGAACUGCGAGUGUAGAGGUGAAAUUCGUAGAUAUUCGCAAGAACACCAGUGGCGAAGGCGGCUCACUGGGCCCGGUACUGACGCUGAGGUGCGAAAGCGUCGGGAGCAAACAGG